AGUAAGCAUUUCACUGUGAGGUCAACACCUGUUGAAUUCGGCGCAUGUGACAAAUACAAUUUGAUUAGUGUUCAUCACUCCUGUUCUGUACCUAUGCAGUCAGAGUGAGCUGGUGAACAGGUAAGAAGACUCUGUCUGCCAUGUAGGAACUGUCAGAAAUGUUAUUAGAGUCCGCCAGAAGGUCAAUGCUAUGAUUCACCUAUCACUCUUUUUCUCCCCCUCUCUCGCGCUUUUUCGCUCUCUCUUUUGCUCCCCCCUCUCUCUUUCUUUUCUGACUCUCUCUCUGACUCCCUCUCUCUCUCCAAGCACCAUGCAGGACUAAUGUUACAGAGAUGGAUGCAUGGGGGCCAGUGGCAUAUCGCUCCUCGUAACUGUCUACAUAACUUGCUCAGCUGGAGGGAAAUACAGCCGUAAGAGAAGACCACCAGAACACUUUGAGGGAGUAGGAGAGCAGGGAUAGGUUACACUCAACAGACACAAGAGAAUACACAUGCGCAGGUAUGUACACACGCAUGCACACACACAUACAAGUGCAUGCACGCACAAAUGAAUGCACGUACACAGUUGUGACAUAUGGUAGAAUAAGGCCUGGAGGGGUGACGGAAACAAACCAAUCCCUUAACCCCGCUACGGGCCCCCUGAGGGUCAGGAGUUAUGGCUGGUCAUAUAGAAGCUGUGACCGGGACAGGCCCCACAUGACUUAAUGACUCGGCUUGAUGAGAAAGAAAGAGAUCUGGUGCAUCUGUCCCCAACCAAGGAGGGCCUACAGCAGCAACUAGAUCUUCUGCACAGACUCUCUGACCUGGGCCCUAUCAGCGAACGUCAGUAAGGACAAUUUAAUGGUGUUCCAAAAAAGGUCCAGUUGCGAAGACCACAAAUACAAAUUCCAUCUAGACACCGUUGCACUAAAGCAGCGGUUCCCAAACUUUUUAUAGUCCCGUACCCCUUCAAACAUUCAACCUCCAGCUGGUACUCCCUCUAGCACCACGGUCAACAGACUCUGAAAUGUUUUUAUUUUCUUUUGCCAUCAUUGUAAGCCUGCCACACACACAC
rnacentral:lncRNA from 1 species